rnacentral:rRNA from 1 species
GACGAACGCUGGCGGCGUGCUUAACACAUGCAAGUCGAACGGAAAGGCCCUUCGGGGUACUCGAGUGGCGAACGGGUGAGUAACACGUGGGUGAUCUGCCCUGCACUUUGGGAUACGCCUGGGAAACUGGGUCUAAUACCGAAUAGGACCACGCGCUUCAUGGUGUGUGGUGGAAAGCUUUUGCGGGUUGGGAUGGGCCCGCGGCCUAUCAGCUUGUUGGUGGGGUAAUGGCCUACCAAGGCGACGACGGGUAGCCGGCCUGAGAGGGGGACCGGCCACACGGGGACUGAGAUACGGCCCAGAGUCGUACGGGGGGCAGCGGGGGGGAAUAUUACACAAUGGGCGCAAGCCUGAGGCAGCGACGCCGCGUGAGGGAUGCCGGCCUUCGGGUUGUAAACCUCUUUCAAUAGGGACGAAGCGCAAGUGACGGUACCUAAAGAAGAAGCACCGGCCAACUACGUG